rnacentral:rRNA from 1 species
CGGUAAUUCCAGCUCCAAUAGCGUAUACUAAAGUUGUUGCAGUUAAAAAGCUCGUAGUUGGAUUUCUGCGGGGACGGAGCGGCCGGUCGCAACUUGCGACUCGAGCUAGCGCUUUCCCCGCAUCCUGCCGCGAACCGUGCUACCAUUAGCUUGGUGGCGCUGGGGAUCGGCUCGAUUACUUUGAGAAAAAUAGAGUGUUCAAAGCAGGCCACACGCCUUGAAUAAGUUAGCAUGGAAUAAUGACUAAGGACUUCGGUUCUAUUUUGUUGGUGUUCGGGACUGAAGUAAUGAUUGAUAGGGACAGUUGGGGCGGUCUGUAUUCCAAAGCGAGAGGUGAAAUUCUUAGACCCUCGGAAGACAAACAGCUGCGAAAGCGUUCCGCAAGGAUGUUCCCUUUGAUCAAGAACGAAAGUUGGGGGAUCGAAGACGAUCAGAUACCGUCGUAGUCUCAACUAUAAACUAUACCAGCUAGGGAUCGGUCAACGUUUAAUCAUUCGACUUGAUCGGCACCUUAUGAGAAAUCAAAGCAUCUGGGUUCCGGGGGGAGUAUGGUCGCAAGGCUGAAACUUAAAGGAAUUGACGGAAGGGCACCACCAGCCGUGGAGCCUGUGGCUUAAUUUGACUCAACACGGGAAAACUUACCAGGUCCAGACAUAGUAAGGAUUGACAGAUUGAUAGCUCUUUCUUGAUUCUGUGGGUGGUGGUGCAUGGCCGUUCUUAGUUGGUGGAGUGAUUUGUCUGGUUAAUUCCGUUAACGAACGAGACCCCAGCCUGCUAAAUAGCGCGGCUGAGCUUUGCUCGGUGCGAGCUUCUUAGAGGGACUAUGAUGCGCGAUAGCACAUGGAAGUUUGGGGCAAUACCAGGUCUGUGAUGCCCUUAGAUGUUCUGGUCCGCACACGGGCUACACUGGCGCCUGCAACGAGCAUAUCAGCUGGCCCGAGAGGGUCUUGGCUAAUCUUUUGAACCGGCGCCGUGCUUGGGAUUGACCAUUGCAAUUGUUGGUCAUGCAACGAGGAAUGCCUUGUAAACGCGAGUCAUCAGCUCGCAUUGAAUACGUCCCUGCCCUUUGUACACACCGCCCGUCGCUCCUACCGAUGAAUGUUCCGAUGAAAUUUUCGGAGAGCGCCAGAGAACGGGGCUCUGCCUUGCAGAUCUGGAGGCUCAAAGUCACUUAAAUCUGAACAUUUCGAGGAAGGAGAAGUCGUAACAAGGUAACC